GUGGGGAAUAUUGGACAAUGGGCGCAAGCCUGAUCCAGCCAUACCGCGUGGGUGAAGAAGGCCUUCGGGUUGUAAAGCCCUUUUGUUGGGAAAGAAAUCCUGUCGGUUAAUACCUGGCGGGGAUGACGGUACCCAAAGAAUAAGCACCGGCUAACUUCGUGCCAGCAGCCGCGGUAAUACGAAGGGUGCAAGCGUUACUCGGAAUUACUGGGCGUAAAGCGUGCGUAGGUGGUGGUUUAAGUCCGUUGUGAAAGCCCUGGGCUCAACCUGGGAAUUGCAGUGGAUACUGGAUCACUAGAGUGUGGUAGAGGGAUGCGGAAUUUCUGGUGUAGCAGUGAAAUGCGUAGAGAUCAGAAGGAACAUCCGUGGCGAAGGCGACAUCCUGGGCCAACACUGACACUGAGGCACGAAAGCGUGGGGAGCAAACAGGAUUAGAUACCCGGGUAGUCC
rnacentral:rRNA from 1 species